UUUCUCUUCUCUCACCAUCGAUUGUGCCAAGGUGGCAGCACUCUGAUCAGGCCUUCCUAAUAAACUGCACUUCACUGUUCGGCCAUCAUAGUUCUGACAGGUAAUCACACCUAGAUCUGCAAAGUCUGCGGGCAGAAAAGCUGCAGGUCUCGCGAGAUCGCCGGCUGCUGGGAGUUUGGAAGAAGGCUACCAUCAUGGCGGAUAGAGACAGUGGAAGCGAGCAGGGGGCGAUCAGCUCGAGCUUGCAGCAGCUGCAGCAGGAGACGCAGGAACUGGCCUCCAAGAGAGUGGACAUUCAGAACAAGCGCUUCUACCUGGACGUGAAGCAGAAUGUCAAAGGCCGUUUUCUGAAGAUAGCGGAGGUGGGAGCAGGAGGCAAUAAAAGUCGCCUAACUCUCUCGAUGUCUGUUGCUGUGGAGUUCCGUGACUACCUGGGCGAUUUCAUCGAACAUUACGCACAGCUCGGCCCCAGUAACCCGGACAUGCAGACGGACGAGCCGAGGCGAGCUCUGAAAAGUGAAUUCUUGGUGCGGGAAAACCGCAAAUAUUACAUGGAUUUAAAAGAGAACCAGCGAGGCCGGUUCCUACGGAUCCGCCAAACCGUGAACCGGGGACACGGCCUUGGCUCGCAGGGUCAGACUAUCGCCCUUCCCGCUCAGGGGCUGAUUGAAUUCCGUGAUGCACUCGCUAAACUCAUCGACGAUUAUGGCAUCGAAGAGGAACCCACUGAGUUACCCGAAGGGACAUCUCUCACUGUGGACAACAAACGAUUUUUCUUUGACGUUGGGUCAAACAAGUAUGGCGUUUUUAUGAGAGUAAGUGAGGUGAAACCAUCAUACCGCAAUUCUAUCACGAUACCGUACAAAGUGUGGGCCAAGUUUGGAAAUACUUUCAGUAAAUACGCAGAGGAGAUGAAGAAAAUACAGGAGAGACAGCGGGAGAAAAGAUCUGAACAGCAAGAAGAAGCUCCCGGAGAUGAUGGGGAGGAAGACUGAUAAAACUGUAAUAAAAAAAACACUUCCUGUAAAACUGUAACUGUUUAACUACGAGGGAGCACCACCCACCAAACCUCCACAACUGACAGUUCGACUUGUCACCCAUCGCUGGAUGUUCGUCCACUUAUCAACCGUGUAAACCGUUUGGACUGAAGACAGACUCCUGGUGAGUUCAGGUGCAUCCUGCAAAAAAACUACUUGUGUUCAGCAAAGCCACAACAGGAUGUGCAAUAUUUGAAGCCUGGUAUGAGCAUAUAGUGGAGCAGUUUUAAUUGGAAAAAGCAAUAUAUCAACACAGAAACUGAGGAUGCCAAAACUUCACAAGUUGGAAUAAUCAGAUUCCAAAGCAAUGAUUUAAAACUGAUCCUACUGAGAAAGUAGAAUCUUCCAACUGAACAAGGCAAGAAAACUGAAAGUUGUGUUUUGAGCUAGGUUUUAUAUAGAAUGAGAUGGAAUAUCAUGCAUCUACAUAUGAAACUCUUGGAUAGAUCCAAUCCCAGUUAUUUUAUCACUGUACAUUAGUGCUAUGCCUGCAAUCGGCAAGAGAAGGCAACAAAUAAACAAUUCCAUGUUGUGCUCCCCUGUAAAUUUGAAUAAGAUGUUAUUAGGGAACUUGCCAUGAUUCAAGAGCAGAGUUUUUCAAACACCAAUUGUUGUAAUAAACGACAAUAGAAAAUAUUUACAAAGAAAAUAGUCAUGUGUACUCCUUUCUGCUGUCCGUGGGAUUAGCCAAAAUGCUUCCUGAAGGACAAUAGCAAAAAAACUUAUCUCCUGUAUUAAUGUGUCUUUCUCUAGUAAUGGUUUGAACGAUAGAUUUACCUAUGAACACCAACAAACUUAAGUUGUAUGAUUGACAAGAAUUGCACCCUUUACGAGCUAAGUCAUUUUUCUUUCCUUCUCAUGACAGUUGAUGAUUUACUUUUCUUGUAAUACAGUGGUCCAGAUGUUUUAAUACUGACUAAUCAAGAUAAUUUCAAACGUAGCCCCUGGAUUUAGAGUUUUACAUCGUAAUAUGUCUGUUUUUACCAGCUCACUGAUCCACCUUUAGUAGUUCCCUGGAAUUCUGCCACUGUCGUUGUCAUUGGUGAGACAAUAGGUACAUAAUUUAGAUCUUUGCUACCAGGGCAUUUAAAAAGACAACACAUUACAAGCUUCUAGAGUUGGAUUUUUUUGUUAAUUUCCUUUGCCUCUCCUUGGGGACAACACAAUGCUUCCUUGAUUGGUUGCAUUGUGUUGUCCCACCCAUCUUCGUCCCCACCACAGUCGUCAUUCAUAUGCAAGCUAAUAUUUGCAUAGGCUACUGAAAUGCAGUGAGUAUCAAGUUGAACAUAGACUACGACUUCCCCAACAAUCCAUGCAGUCUAGUUGUGAUAACGUAACAGAUAUGAUUAUCACAGUAGGGUCAAAUGUAGUGUUCCAGAAUAUGACCUGAUAGAGAAUGAUAAAUUCUGUACAAACUUGGAUUUAAACGGCUCAGCUACAAACUGGAGAUAGAAUACUAGAGAUUUGGACAAUAAAAAUGGAAACAUUUACUAGAUUGAGCAGUUAGUGCAGAUUAACUUCUGUUUUAACUUAUGAUGUGGAAAUGUAUAUUGCCAGGUUGCAAGUUACCUUGAGUUGACUGGAAAAAGUUUGUGAAAGAAAUUUGGGUAGUUUCAACCCAAUUUCGAGCUGAACGUGUGAGGUUUGAAAACUUUGGUUAACCAGAGGUGGACAGGGAUAGGUGUCAGUCAUGUUUCUCUUUAGUUGAGACUGUUUUGAGUCCCCAGAAUAUGUCCUUAAUUCCUAUUAUUAGUCAUCAGUCAACUUGAUAUUGCAAGAACCAUAAAGAAUAAUACUAGAACUUGGAAGACAUUUUGGAAAAUCCACAAUGGUGACCUAAAAGGAUGAGCCUCUUUUUACUUUAGAAACCAUUUUUAAAAAAUCUUAUCUCAAGAUGGGAUAACUGUACCUCAUUUUUUUCAAGGAAUGGUGCAUAGAACCAUAACUUUCUAUUUCUUAGCACAAUGUCUAUUAAUGUCCAUUUUGCGAUGAUUUUAAUGAGCUUUGAUCAGUCAGUGAUGAAAACUUGGGUUUCCUUAUUCAAACCUCAAAUAUACAGUCUCCCUUUAGGAUGCCAAAAUCAUUGGGGUGAGUAGAUUUUUCAGGUUUUGUUUUAAGUUCUUAACACUGCUAUAGAACAUUGUUCUGGAACACACCUACUAAUGUCAUACGAAUGAAUAGAAAUGUCUGCUCUAUUUAUAAGUUAAUUUGUUAGCAUUUUCAGUCUGUUAGUCUGUGUGUUGCAUAUACAAUUAAAAGAAAAUACCAAAGUGUGUCAAGUGUGACUCAGUUGGUGGCACACUUCCCUCUGAAACACAAGAGUCCAGGUUCAUGUCCUACUCCAGGUCCUGAACACACAAACCAAACCUGAUUCCCCAGUGUAGUGCUGAGAGCACUUUGCGCUGUUAAAAGUGCAACUUAUCGGUAGAUAUUAAUGGUGAGAUCCCAAUGGUAAAAGAUCCUGUGGCAUCAUUUUGAAGAAGAGCGAGGGAGUUAUCCCCAAUGUUCUGGCCAAUAUCUGUCCCUCAAUCAACAUCACCAAAAACAGAUUAUUAUUUGAUAUCAUUAUCGCACUGCUAUUUGUGAGAUUUUAUUAAGUACAAAGCAGCUAUUGCCAUUACUACAUUUCUACAGUCAUUACACUUAAAGAUAUUUCCUUGGCUUUAAAAAAAAUCCAGUGGUUGUGAAAACCACUACGUAUAUUCAAGCUUUUUAUUUUGCCAUGUACUUUUAUUAUUGAUGGAAGUGUACACAGUAUAAUGGAACCUAAAGAUUUCAAGGGAACAAGGAGUGGAUUUAGCGAGUAAAAGUUGAAUAAGAAAAUAUGAAUUAAAAUGCAGUUUGCAAAGUCUUGAUAAUUUCGAAGAUAUCAAACAAUUCAGGAAGGUACAAUCUUUCCAAAGUUUGGAAUUCUCUCUAAAUGCCUUCCAGUUAAUUAAGAAAUGAGGGAGUGGUGGGGGCGAUGGGAUAGGAAACUAUAGAUCUAUUUAAACAGUAAUUAGGAUCUAUAGUUAGAUAUUGGAGGGAAGUCACUAAUUUGUCAGAGUAACUGAACUCUAGGACAAGUAUCACCUGAUCAAAGCUGGAAUGGAUUUGUGAAGGCUUGGUCAUGUCUGACUUAUCUAGUUGAUUUUGUUUAAGAUAAUGUCAUGAUGGAGAGGUGAUUUUCUGGAUAUUAUCUACAUGAACUUACAGAAACUCAUAGAGUUGUACAGCACGGAAACAGAACCUUCAGUCCAACUGUUCUGUGCCAAACAGACAUCCCAACAGACCAUUCGGUCCAACUCGUCCCCAGCGACAUAGUCCCAAUUAGGCCAUCCCUCUAAAAGAUAUUUGACAAGUUUGUGAAAAAGGGAUAAAGUGCAAAAGUUAGUGCAGUUGAAUAGGAGGUAAUCAUAUGACAUAAUUGAUUGGGAGCAAGGAGAUAAAAUAGGGAUAAAAGGUUCCAUCUCUAGAUGGCAGGUGGGUGAGGAGUAUUGUGCAGGGGUCUACUUUAGAAAAGCAGUUUUUCACCUUUUUGUAGCAAUCAUUUGGAAAAGAAAUAAUGUAUAUCCAAAUUUGUAGAUAACAUCCAAGUUAGGUGCAACAUUAAGAUAUGUGAUGAGAUCAGGAAAAUAUAAUAGACAUAAAUACACUGGGUGGUGGGGUGGGGCUGCUGGGCUGUCCGCUGACCAGUCUGGUUGAGUGAAUGUCCAGACUCCUGGUGGUCUACUUCACACUGCAUGUCUGAAAAGCCAGCAGCUUUCCACCACUAGAGGAGAUUGCAGAUAACGUACAAGGACAACCGUGUGAAACUUUAGGUCUGGAAGGCCCAGCUGCUUACUGCAUUAUGUCUACUUGGUGGUAGCAGUCCAAAUUGACUGGCUGAUGGGCAACAUCUAGCAUGUAUGGAGUGACAGCAAUGAGAGUACAAAUGCUGCCUUUCUGAGAAAGGGCAUCAGGUUAUUUCUCAGUAGAGCCACUGCUAUUUCCACCAUGAAGCAUGUUGCAAGUCUUGGACAUUAUUGGAUGGACAUUAUUGGAUGGCAGAUUGCUGGACUGUUGUGACUUCCUUCAAAUCAGUAUAUCAGUAGUCUGUACUUGCAUGAUAGAAGCUGAAUUUUCACUGCAGCAUUCGGACCUCUGGCAUAAGCUGCAGCAUCAGCCAUUAGCUACCAUGUUGUGAAGAUGGCUAGCACUAAGAUGCUUGAAAGGAUUAGAUGCUUGAUAGGAUUAGAUGUGGGUAGGAGAAUGAAUAUAAGAUAUGAGGAUACCAUCAUUUUCAAUAAUUUCAAAACCAGCUCUGCCUUGCUUCAGUGUGGGCAUUUCAGUAAUGGCCAGAACAUUCUCCUUCACAAGGUCAGGUUAUGUAGGUGGGCCUGUUUCUCUGGUUUUAUGGAUACUCUCUUUAGAUUGGUAGAAAGUGAAUGUAACUCCUUUAUUCAAAAAGAGAGAAGCAAAAAGACAGAAAUACAGGCCAGUUAGCUUAAGAUCUGUCAUAGGGAACGUGUUCAAAACUGUCAUUGAUGUAUUUACAGCAGGGCACUUGGAUAUGUUCAAGGUAAUCAGACCGAGUUAAUAUGGUUGACAUACACAUGCUAUGGAUAUACUGUACUUCAGUCUCCAGAAGGCAUUUGGUAAGGGGCUGCGUUAAAAGUAAUUGUAGGAUAUAAAUUCUGGUAAGGAUAGAAGAUUGGCUAGCUAACAGAAAGCAGAGAGUAAGGAUAAAUGGGUCUUUUUCAGGUUGACAAGAUAUAACAAGUGGUGUGCCUUAGAGAUUGGUGCUAUCGCGUCAACUGUUUACAAUUUAUACAAAUGACUUGGAUAAAUGGGGUUUUGGCACAAGUUAUGAUGCCAAAUUUGUUAAUGACAAGGUAGGAAAGUAAGUUGUAAAAAGGAUACAAGGAGAUUCCAAAAACACACAAAUGUGGCAAGUGGGGUAUGGUGUAGAAAAUGUGAAAUUGUUCAUUUUGGGAGGUAGAAUGAAAAAAGAAGCAUAUUAUCUAAAUCGUGAGAGAUUGUGGAGCUCUGAGAUGCAGAUGGAUCUAGUUAUCCUUAUGCAUCAACCACAAAAAGUUAAAUGUGUAGAAAGUAAUUGGGAACACUAAUAGAAUGUUACCUUUUAUCGCAAGGUGAACCAAAUACAAAUGUUGGGAGGUUGCUCUUUGGUUAUAGACACCUUAUUUAAGGAAGGUUGUAAAUCAUUUGGAAGCAAUUCAGACAUGAUUUACUGGACUAGUCUUAUGAGAAAAGAUUGAACAGACUAGGCUUAUAUCAGUUGGAGUUUAGAAGAGUAAGAGGUGAUGAUUGAAAUAUAAACAAGAAAUCUUGACAGGGUACAUGCAGAGAGGUUGUUUCCUCUUGUUGAAGAAUCUAAAUUUGGUAUCACUAUUUAAUUUUUUAGGUGUUGGUACAUAGAGUCCUCUUAAACAAGUUUUUGAAAGGUUAUGGAGGGUUUGUGGGAAUGUGGAUUUGAGGUUACAGUCAGAUCAGCUGUAGUCUUUAUUGAUUGGUAUAGAGGCGAUGACCCUGGUAGUAUAUCACUAGACUAUUAAUCCAGAAACUAAAAUAAUGUUCUGGGGACCCAGGUUCAAAUCCUGCCAUGGCAGAUAGUGGAAUUUGAAUUUUUUUUAAAAAUCAGGAAUCAAGAAUCUAUUGAUGACCAUGAAGCCAUUGCUAAUUGACAGAAAAAACCUGCCUGACUCACUGAGGGAAUCCACGAUCCUCAUCUGGUCUGGCCUACAUGUGACUUCAGACCCACAGCAAUGUGGUUGACUCUCAACCGCCCUCCGAAAUGGCCUGGCAAGCUACUCAGUUCAAGGCCAGCUAGGGAUGGGUAAUAAAUUCUGGCCAGCCAACAAUGCCUGUAUACCAUGAGUGAAUUUUAAAAAAAAGUCUCAACUGGCUACAAGGCCUACUGCUUCUCAAAUCGUAUGUAUGUUCAUAUGUCUUGUAAGAGAGAGGGAAAUUCAUCAGUGUUGUGCAAUUUGUCUGGCUGAUGUUAUCAACCUGUAAGUGUGUGUAUGUUGAGGUGUGGGCAUGAGGCUGUAGCAGGUCAAAGUGUGCCUCUGUACCAGGAGUCCUGGGUUCAAGAGGUGUAUAAGAACAUCUCUGCAUCGUUUAGUUUUUUUAAAAUCUAUAAAAGAUAAUGUGAGUCCUGUUUGAAGACUGUAGAUGAAUGAUAGGGCCCUUGUCAAUUGAAGAUUGUCAGAUGCUUUUGAGCAGUUGAAAAUGUACAGCAUUUGAAGAUCCAUUCAGUGAUCUUGAUCACUGGUGUGAGGUGGUUGAACUUCCUGCAGCAUUACAUCCAGGUCCUAGUGUUUUAAGUCCUGAUGUUAACCUCCAGAGCUGUCUAUUCCCACAAAUUUUGGAGUGUUGUUUGGAGGAUCUCCUAGGUUGCUGCAGAUCCUUGGUCAUUUCUGCAACCUGCCUGCAGCACAGUUUUCUGUACAGUCUGAAAACCUUGAACCCUGUUCUCUCAUGUGCCAUUCUUCUAGUUUUCUCAUUAGGUUCAGCUGUCAAAGCAUUCCUAUCACCAACUGCAGCUACUGUGCACCUUCCCUUUAAAAGGUACAGGCUCGCUUUAACAGAUACAAACCAUGCGCAGCCAGAAGGCAUUGUUUUAGACUGGCAUCAUGGUCGUCGCAGGCAUGGCGAGCGCAGAACGUGAUCCUGUGUUGUCCUGUUUAAUAUGGUACAGCUGAUCAGAAUCGCCCUGUACUUGGGAAAAUUCUGCCGUCUGAGCGCCGCAGUUAUAUAAAACGGCCUGCCUUCCAGGCUGUAGGUGGAUAUUAAUCCCCGAGCCCGGUUUCGACGGCAAUCGAAUUUAAUCCCAAAUUCCUUGAAACCGCAGUCUCAUUAAGAAACACGAUUGUUAAGCGUAGAAUAUAUUCGUAGGUUCUGACCAUGCGUUACUGAAGAGAAACCACUUUUCCACAAAAUCCUGAAGAGACAUGGUGAUGGACGGUAUUAAUAGUUUUUCCACGUGGCUGCAACUUCUUGUUUAUUUUCAGCGGACUUUUUAUGAUGAAUUAGAUCGUCAAUAAAAUGAAAAGUUUAAAAAUUGAAUUCGUUUAGUUUAGAAAUGCAGAUGUUGUACUGUUAUUUGAUGCCUUCCUAUCGUUGUUGGAUUAGAUCGUUAAGAUAAUUUGGCCCCGUUUUAUGUCUAACGUUAGGAUUGAAUAUCGAAUAGUUUGUGAGAGAAAGGGGCGAUUGAUAGGACUUAGCCUGCUCUGUUCAAACAGUUCGGCUUUGGUCAGGUGUUUAAGAGAACUUGGGCAGUGGGUGAAUCGGGAAGCAAUUGAUCAAAUCGUUACGUUAAGUCUGAGCAUUGCCAGUGCUCACUAUUAUGAUAGUUAUUAUAAUCACUGGCUAAAAGUAGGAUAAAACAAAGAACUGCGGCUGCUGGAAAUCCGAAACAAAAACAGAAAUUACCGGUGAAAUCAGAUUGGACUCUGGACUGGAGACGUUAACUCUGCUUUCUCUCCAAAGAUGCUGCCAGACCCGAGUUGCUCCAGCAAUUUCUGUUAUUCCUAACAGUAAGAACUAAUGGAAGAAAUGGAUGAACACAGCAGGCCAAGCAGCAUCAGAGGAGCAGGAAAGCUGACGUUUCGGGUCUGGACCCUUCUUCAGAAACGUCAGCUUUCCUGCUCCUCUGAUGCUGCCUGUCCUGCUGUGUUCCUCCAGCUCCACACCUUGUUACCUCAGACUCCAGCAUCGGCAGUUCCUACUAUCUCUGAUGGAAGAAAUGGAUGUUCUAACGGUCCUGCUAUUUGAAUUGUCAUGUUUGAAAAUCGCUCGAUCUUGUCAUGAGGAAAUAUCAUGUAAUACCACCAAUAUUUGCCGAUGGGAAUCGGGUAAUUUUAAAUUUACGCCCGCGGCAUUAAAAGUAAAUUAUUGGGAUACCACAACAAAACAUAUAAAAUUACAUACAGAGUAGUGCGCAUUACAGACAGCUGCAAUGAUUAACUUUUUACGGACCAGCAAUAAAGUAGAUAUUAUUGGAAUCAUUCUGAGUCCAUUCGUUAUGAUGAGUGGAUACUGCCUGUUGGACAAUCUGCGAUCCAUCGAAGUACAAUGGCGCGGGCUGUUGGCAGUCUGUUCAGUCACAGAACACUACAGACAUGCGAUUAUGUGACAAUGAUGUUCAUUCAGUACUCAACCCUGUUGAAGACGCUGUCAGAACUACGGGUUAAUAAGUCGCCAGUUACAGAAGAAAAAAAAAGAGACAGCACGAUUUAAGAAUGUCGAACGGCAGAUUUCAAGUGACAUUCUUUGAUUAAUUUACAAUUAUAGGAAGAAUCUGGUUAGAAACAGUGAUUCUCUCCAAUCCCUUUGGUAAAAGUAACGAAUGUUUGUUCGUUCCUAAACCUUCAGCCCCUGUCCUUUUAAAGCAAAAUCGUGAAACAAAAAUCUCCAACAGAGAUUUUUAAUCAGUUUACGAAGAACAUCCUAAAUUCCAGAUGCUAUUGUUUUAUAUUCGAAGCGAUCUUUGGUUAGAUUUUCAUUUAAAGAAGCUGCUUUGACUGAAGCAACAAACAUUGACAAUUACAGUUUAAUAUCUGUAAAGCGUUUCUGCGUGAGAAUAAAUGUAUACAGACACAGAGCUGACGGCCACACUGGCCUGAAAAACUGAGCAGUUCGGGCCUGGUUAGUAUUUGGAUGGAAGACUGCCUUGGAAUAUAAAGUCCAAUUCGACUUUUAGAGCAGUGCCAAUGUCCCUAGCUCUGAGCCAGGAGGCUCAGGUUCAAGUCCGACCUGCUCCAGAAGUGUGUAAUAAUAUCUUUGAACGGGCUAAUUAGAAAACAUCUAUACCGACUGGAGUGUAGUGAAAUACCUAAUAAUAGGCCACGUUAUUUUCACCAAACUGGGGUUAUCUUUUAAGAAUUAACAUGUAUAAUUUAGUUGUGUAAAACCAGCUGUUCUGAAAUGUGUAGUUGGGAUUAUUGAGCUGUGCGUGUAUUCAAAUUGACUGGUUUUAUCCGGCCGUCUUUAGUAGACCUGAUGAUGAGUAAAGAGGUAACAAAGUGUAGAGCUGGAUGAACACAGCAGGCCAGGCAGCAUCAGAGGAACAGGAAAGCUGACGUUUCGGGUCUGAACCCUUCUUCAGAAAAAAUUGUAAAGAGGGUUGUGAUUUCCUCAAGCUUCUGACAGUGAAGCUGUGGUAAAUGUCGACUGUGUGAAGUUUUGACGCUCGAGGAAGAAGACGAAACUGACGAUGAGAACAACUUUGCCACUCAAAAAGAUAAUGACGUCUUCCAGAUUAGGGCGGUGGGCUGAACAUGGUAUUUUCCGUGAGAUGGGAAGGAAUGCAGCCCAAAAUCGAGCAAUAAAAAAACCACAAACGGUUUAGAGGAAAUGUGACACGUAUAGAGUGCAAAAUAACUAGUCACAUAAGGCAAAAAGGAGGAUGAGUCAAAUGACCGCGUUCUGUGGAUAGAUACAGGAAACCGAUUAUAAGCUUCAUGUUGAGUUAUUGUUAGUUAGACUGAUGAUACUACAGAUAAUCUCGGGUAUUAGGGCAUGCUUUUAUGAAGAAAUGCGUGAAUAGACAUUUAACGGAAUAUAGUAGAUGGAUUAUUUUUAAAUGUUUUGUGAGAGACGUCGAGAAGAGCGAUUAGAAAAACCACACGUGGAAAAGGUAAUGCAUAUACAGCAAGGGUGAUGUGAAAGGGCGCAGGAUUGUACGCAAUCUAUUAAGAAUGAGUACGUUGAAAAUACAGCGCUUUGGAAGCAUUUUCUGACUAUUCGAGAAUUCUCCCAUAUUUUUCAAAUGGCCCGUUGUAACAGCCUAAAUGGAAAAUUGGUUAAUAGGCAGGUAGUAAACAGCCAGAGCAAAUGGGAAUUCAGAAAGGGUUGGAAGUAAGUCAGUUAUGUCGUCAGCGUUCGCUCCAGCUUUGUUCUGUGUAUACACGUACAGCUGAUCUUGGCUUUACGGACGACACGCAAUUUGUAAAAGACCAAGAAGAUAUGAGCUGGUUAACAAUAGACCAAUGAGCGAAAUGUGUACUUUACAGUGAUAUUUAUGAGGUUCGGAGGUUAAAAUAAAGCAGAGUAGGAGUAUGCACUUAAUGAAAAAAAGCUGAAAAUGUGGUUGAAGACAGGAUUAAAACAUCACAAUUCUCUGAAAAUUCCGCUAUAUAGUUAAAGCUAUAAAAGUGGUCAAUUGAUAUUUUUACAUAAUUUAAAGCAUUAUUUAUACAUACUGGAUUUAUAGAAAUCACCGUUAGAACAUUGCAGUUUUGAGCAGCCUCUCUCAAAAAAAGGGUAUAUAAACCAUAACAGGGCAGUAUCAACGAUGUUGUACACAGUUAUUGGGAGAGAAUUAAUGUGUUGGAACAGUUCCUAUCGCGAUAACGAAGACUGAAGGGAGAUUCAAUUAAGUUUUUAAAGGCUCAGAAGUGGUAUGAUAAAAUAAAUAUAUUAAGGCAAUUUACUGUUUUUUGGAGACAAUGGUGAGGGAUUAUCAAUUUAGUAUAAUUGCAAAGAGGUAGGAGAAACAUUGGGAAAAGUUUCUUUGGCAGAGGGCUUCAGGAGUAUGCAAUACUUUGCUAUAACUAGUGGGUGAAACAGGGACCUUUUAAAAGAAGGAAAACCUCGGAGGAUAUUUUAGGAAGGGUACUGUAUAGGACUAUGGGUAGAGGGCAGUACUAUGGUUUCAGAUUUGGUUUCAGAUUUCUAUAGCAAAAUGCUGGCACAGAUAUGUAUUGGAUGGCAUUUUGUAUGCUAUAAUUUGCUAUAUCUUUUAGUAGCAUGCCCAUUUUAGAUUGCAUUUUAUGGUUCAAUUAUUUAAAAUAAUUUGGAUAUAGCAUAGCUUCUAAUUCAUCUACAGUUUUUAUCAUUUUGGGGGUUUGAAGAAAUGUCUAACCUUUGCAGCAAUUUCAUAUUUUCAUGUAUAUUUUAAUCUCUAACAAUAUCGAAUAUUGUUUCAUUGUGUGAUCAUUAUUCCUAUAGAUCCUUGAAAUUUUUCAAGGGAAAGUGAUAUUAAUCUUGACCUUUCAUAUUAUUAUGAUGAUAUUUUUACAGCAAUAAAAAAGCACUAUGGAAACAGAUUGCAGAUUAGCUGCACUGGAGAUAUAUAGCUUAUGUAUGUGCAAAAUCAGAACCUUUUGGGGCUUUAAAAUGAUUAGGAAACAUGACAAAUCUUGAGCAGUAUUUCUUCGAAUAAACUUCAGAUGAGGUCUGAUUUUAUAUUUUGCUGAUAUGCAUUACAUUUUUUUGUAUUUAAGGCACAGAUGACCAACUGGCUUUUCUGAAAAUACUGCACUAUUGUCAUAGAUUUAGUAUAUUGUAUUGAUUUGAUGUACACAUUGAGAUUUUUGCAAUGAAGUAUGAGUGAUUCAAAUUGGAUGCUGAAAAUUUCUAAUAUACUGUCAAGUAUUUCUGUUCCUUGUGAUCCAAAAUAUACAUUUUGUGGCAGUAGCAACUAAAUUGGUCUCUCAACAUGUAAUGGGAAUGAAUUCGCUUUUUCAUAUGAACAGAUUCAAAUGACUUAUUUAAAAUUUCAAUGGAUUGUAAAAGUCUGCAAUUUUGGAUUAUUUCUCAAAGCUCUAUAAUGUAAUGAUUCAAUGGAUUCUCUGUAUUUUGUUUUAAAUGGUAUAGUAUUCAAGUUGACUGGUAGUAUUAUUGAUUUUAAUGUGAAAACUUCUCAGUUCUGUUUCUAACCACCUAUCAAUAUCCUUUCUUAAAGAAAAGUUAACCAACCUAUGUAUUUAGUAAAGAAUUGGAUUGGAACUUUUCAUCCUCAUAGGGGACAGAAAAUGUGACAUUCAAUUUUAGUGCUUGUCUGUUGAAAUAAUUAAAAUAAAGAUUUAAAGUUCAAAUGU